rnacentral:ncRNA from 1 species
AAGGAGGCAUCCGAAAAUCCUGAAGAGAGUAGGAA